GAUGAAGAAGGUAGCGAAAUGCGAUACUUGGUGUGAAUUGCAGAAUCCCGUGAACCAUCGAGUCUUUGAACGCAAGUUGCGCCCGAAGCCACUAGGCCGAGGGCACGCCUGCCUGGGCGUCACACGCCGUUGCCCCCCCAUCUACUCCUUCGGGAUUGCGGGGGGGCGGAUGAUGGCCUCCUGUGCGCCUAGCCGCGCGGUUGGCAUAAAUACCAAGUCCUCGGCGACGCACGCCACGACAAUCGGUGGUUGCGAAACCUCGGUUGCCCGUCGUGUGCGUUCGUCGCGCAUCGAGGGCUCGAAAAAAUGCUCGGCUCCGGCUGGGCUUUCAACGCGACCCCAGGUCAGGCGGGGUUACCCGCUGAAUUUAAGCAUAUCAAUAAGCGGAGGA
rnacentral:misc_RNA from 1 species